rnacentral:misc_RNA from 2 species
CUGCCCUCAAGCGCGGCUUGUGUGUUGGGCGUGGUCCCCCCUCUUGUGGGGGACCUGCCCGAAAGGCAGCGGCGACGUUCCGCCCAGGUCCUCGAGCGUAUGGGGCUUUGUCACCCGCUCGGGACGGAUCUGCGGGCGUCGGUCACCCACGAUUCUUUCCAC